CAUGUCUUUUUGAUAAUAAUAUAAAGUCUGACCUGCCCUAUGAUUUUAAAAUUAAAUGGCCGCGAUAUUUUGAUCGUGCAAAGGUAGCAUAAUCAUUAGUUUCUUAAUUAGGAACUGGAAUGAAAGGUUGAACGAGAAAAAAACUGUCUCAAUUUAAUUUAAUUAGAAUUUUAUUUUUGAGUAAAAAAGCUUAAAUAAUUUUAAAAGACGAGAAGACCCUAUAGAGUUUAAUAUUUAAUAAAUUUUAAAAAAUAUAUAGUAUAUAAUUUUUUAUUUUUUAUAGAAUAUUUAGUUGGGGUGACUAUAAAAUUGAAUAAACUUUUUUUAAUUUUAAACAUUGAUAUAUGAAUAAUUGAUCCAUAAAUUAUGAUUAAAAGAUUAAAUUACCUUAGGGAUAACAGCGUUAUUUUUUUUAAGAGUUCAUAUCGAAAAAAAAGUUUGCGACC
rnacentral:rRNA from 1 species